CUGAAUAGGGCGUCAAGUUGGUGGUGGUAGACGCGAAACCUUAGUGAUCUACCCAUGGGCAGGGUGAAGGUUUGGUAACACAAACUGGAGGCCCGAACCGGUAAACGUUGAAAAGUUUUCGGAUGACCUGUGGGUAGGGGUGAAAGGCCAAUCAAACUGGGAAAUAGCUCGUACUCUCCGAAAUGCAUUUAGGUGCAGCCUCUGUUGUUUUGUUCUAGAGGUAGAGCUACUGAUUGGAUGCGAGGGCUUCACCGCCUAUCAAAUCCGGCCAAACUCCGAAUGCUAGAACAUGAAGACAGGGAGUGAGCCAGCGGGUGCUAAGGUCCGUUGACGAAAGAGGGAGAACUCAGACCAUCAGCUAAGGUCCCCAAUUAUAUGCUAAGUUGGAAUAAAAACGGGGUGGGACUGCUUAGACAGCUAGGAUGUUGGCUUGGAAGCAGCCAUUCAUUUAAAGAGUGCGUAACAGCUCACUAGUCGAGCGGUCCUGCAUGGAUAAUACGCGGGCAUAAGCAUAUAACCGAAGCUAUGGGAUUGUAUAUGAUACAAUCGGUAGGAGAGCAUUCCAUUCAGCAUAGAAGCAGUACCGUGAGGUAUUGUGGAGCGGAUGGAAAAGCAAAUGUAGGCAUAAGUAACGAUAAUGCGGGUGAGAACCCCGCACGCCGAAAGAUCAAGGAUUCCCCGGCAAUGUCAAUCAUCCGGGGGUAAGUCGGAUCCUAAGGGUAAGCCGAGUGGCGAUCCCGAUGGUAAACAGGUUAAUAUUCCUGUACUGAUCAUAACUGCGAUGCAGCGACGCAGAGGUGACACUGCUGCGUACUGACGGAAUAGUACGUUGAAACCCGUAUUCUUUGAUACCGGUAGUGAAGCACGCCGGUAGAGAUGAAAGGUGAUAGUACCGCAAUGCUUCGGUUGCGCGGAUAAUGCAGGUAAGCUGACUGCCAAGAAAACCUGCUAAGCUUCAGGUAAUGAUCAUCCGUACUGUAAACGGACACACGUGAUCAGGUAGAAAAUACUAAGGCGCUCGAGAGAUUCAUGGUUAAGGAACUAGGCAAAAUGGUCCUGUAACUUCGGGAUAAAGGACGCUCUUGUGAAAGAGCCGCAGAUAAUAGGCCCAGGCGACUGUUUACCAAAAACACAUGGCUAUGCUAAUUCGCAAGAAGAUGUAUAUGGCCUGACACCUGCCCGGUGCCGGAAGGUUAAGAGGAGAGCUCAGAGGUAACUCGAAGGUUUGAAUUGAAGCCCCGGUAAACGGCGGCCGUAACUAUAACGGUCCUAAGGUAGCGAAAUUCCUUGUCGGGU
rnacentral:rRNA from 1 species